UAAACUGGGAUUAGAUACCCCAUUAUUUUAGAUUGUAAAAUUGAUUUAUUUUCUACCUAAGUACUAUGAACUAUUGUUUAAAAUUUAAAGGACCUGGCGGUAUCUUAGACUAUUUAGAGGAACUUGUAUCUUAAUCGACAGUCCUCGUUGUACCUUACCUUUUUUUGUAUUUUAUUUCAGUUUGUAUACCAUCGUCGUCAGUUAACUUUGUGAUAAUAUAGAAGUUAUCUUAUAAAAUUUAAUUUUAGAUGUCAGAUCAAGGUGCAGCCUAUAAAUUGGGGAAUAUUGGUUACUAUUAUGAAUUUGUAGUUAUGGAUAGUUUUUUGAAAUAGAUUACUUGAAAAAGGAUUUAAAAGUAAUUUAAUUUAGAUGUAUAUAGUGAAUGUGGCUCUGAGAUGCGUACACACCGCCCGUCACCCUCA
rnacentral:rRNA from 1 species